ensembl:snoRNA
GGUCGAUGAUGUGUUGGCAUGUAUUAUCUGAAUUCUGCUGAUGUGUAAUCACACUUUAGCUCUAGAAUUACGCUGAGACCUU